rnacentral:tRNA from 1 species
CGGGCGUACGCGCGGCGGGCGGUGGUCCGGCUGCGGACCGGGCAGGACCGGGGCGGUCCGGACGCCUCCACGGCCGC